GGACUACCGGGGUUUCUAAUCCUGUUUGCUCCCCACGCUUUCGCGCCUCAACGUCAGGUAUGGACCAAGAAGCUGCCUUCGCCAUCGGUGUUCCUCUCGAGAUCUACGCAUUUUACCGCUACUCCGAGAAUUCCACUUCUCUCUUCCAUCCUCUAGCACAUCAGUAUCUACUGCUGGCUCCCGGUUAGGCCGGGAAAUUUAACAGUUGACUUAAUAUGCCGUCUACGCGCCCUGUACGCCCAAUGAUUCCGAAUAACGCUCGCACCCCUCGUAUUACCGCGGCUGCUGGCAC
rnacentral:rRNA from 1 species